CACACUGCUCUUAACACCGAGCAUUCAAACUGCCACUCCAGUCUACAACAACUGAACAAUGUGCUCAUCAUUCACCAUCUCACUCUUUCUCUCAGCUCUCUGGAGUCAGGUUUCUCUGGGGAUCAUCACAGUAGAUCAGUCUCCUCCGGUCAUCUCCGUCCAGCCUCACGACACUGUGAAGAUUCUUUGUCGAGCUUCACAGGACAUUUAUGCUGACAUGGAGCUGUAUCAGCUUAAACCUGGACAGGCUCCUAAACAUUUGAUUCACGACAGUACUAGCAGAAUGUCUGGUGUUCCUGACAGAUUCAGUGGCACAUAUACAGCAGCUCUGACAACCUUCACCAUCUCAGGUGUUCAGCUGGAGGAUGAAGCUGAGUAUCACUGUGCCCACAGUGAGGAAUAUCCAGUCACACAGUGAAAUAAUGCUGUACAAAAACCUCUGUGUUUCUCAGCUUGACUGAUCACUCGAUGAGAGCCUGGUGUUAUGUUAGUUACUUUGUUACCAUACAGCAAAGGUGUUACCUAUAUCACUUAAACAAACAAUUAUUUAAACAGUUAAAACAAUUAUUUAUCAUCAUUCUAUAUUUUUGCCUUGGGCUUAAGCCAACCAAUU